rnacentral:rRNA from 1 species
GAGGUGGCAAGCGUUACUCGGAAUUAUUGGGUGUAAAGGGCAAGUAGGCGGUCUAUUAAGCGAGGGGUGAAAUCUUCCGACUCAAUCGGAAAACUGCCUUUCGAACUGGUAGACUUGAGGUUGGAAGAGGGAAAUGGAAUUAGCAGUGUAAGGGUGAAAUCUGUAGAUAUUGCUAAGAACACCUGCGGCGAAGGCGAUUUCCUGGUCUAAACCUGACGCUAAAUUGCGAAAGCCAGGGUAGCAAACGGAAUUAGAUACUCCGGUAGUCCUGGCCGUAAACGACGAGUACUAGGUGUUGGUCCUUCGGGAUCAGUGUCGAAGCUAACGCGUUAAGUACUCCACCUGGGGACUACGGUCGCAAGGCUAAAACUCAAAGGAAUUGACGGGGACCCGCACAAGCGGUGGAACAUGUGGUUUAAUUCGAUGAUACGCGAAGAACCUCACCAAGGCUUGACAUGCUCGUCGUAUCCUCUUGAAAGGGAGGAGUCAUUUAGUUGGACGAUGCACAGGUGCUGCAUGGCUGUCGUCAGCUCGUGUCGUGAGAUGUUGGGUUAAGUCCCGCAACGAGCGCAACCAUUGCCCUAUGUUGCCACCCCAUUUUUCUUGCUUGCAAGAUGAUGGGCGCACUCUUAGGGGACUGCCCGGGAUAACUGGGAGGAAGGUGGAGAUGACGUCAAGUCAGUACGGCCCUUAUGCCUUGGGCUACACACGUGUUACAAUGGCUGGUACAAAGGGUUGCCAACCCGUGAGGGGGAGCUAAUCUCAAAAAGCCAGCCUCAGUUCGGAUUGGAGUCUGCAACUCGACUCCAUGAAGCUGGAAUCGCUAGUAAUGGGAGAUCAGCUCGCUCCCGUGAAUACGUUCCCGGGUCUUGUACACACCGCCCGUC